rnacentral:rRNA from 30 species
GAGAAGUCGUAACAAGGUUUCCGUAGGUGAACCUGCGGAAGGAUCAUU